GGACUUGUAUGAAUGGCCACACGAGGGUUUUACUGUCUCUUGCUUCCAAUCAGUGAAAUUGACCUUCCCGUGAAGAGGCGGGAAUACAUUAAUAAGACGAGAAGACCCUAUGGAGCUUUAACUACUUGACCCAAAGAAAUAAAUUUCAUCGCUAAGGAAACAACAACACUCUUCAUGGGCCAACAGCUUUGGUUGGGGUGACCUCGGAGAAGAGAACAAGAAAUCCUCCGAGCGAUUUUAAAGACUAGACCUACAAGUCGAAUCACACAAUCGUUUAUUGAUCCAAAAAAUUGAUCAACGGAACAAGUUACCCUAGGGAUAACAGCGCAAUCCUAUUCAAGAGUCCAUAUCGACAAUAGGGUUUACGACCUCGAUGUUGGAUCAGGACAUCCCGAUGGUGCAACCGCUAUCAAAGGUUCGUUUGUUCAACGAUUAAAGUCCUACGUGAUCUGAGU
rnacentral:rRNA from 1 species